rnacentral:rRNA from 1 species
GAGGAAUAUUGGUCAAUGGGCGCGAGCCUGAACCAGCCAAGUAGCGUGAAGGAUGACUGCCCUAUGGGUUGUAAACUUCUUUUAUAAGGGAAUAAAUGAAGGCACGUGGGCCUUAUUGCACGUACCUUAGGAUUAACAUUCGGUUAAUCCGGUGCCAGCAGCCGCGGUAAUACGGAGGAUGCAAGCGUUAUCCGGAUUUAUUGGGUUUAAAGGGAGCGUAGGCGGACUAUUAAGUCAGCUGUGAAAGUUUACGGCUCAACCGUGAAAUUGCAGUUGAAACUGGUCGUCUUGAGUGCAGUAAAGGUGGGCGGAAUUCGUGGUGUAGCGGUGAAAUGCUUAGAUAUCACGAAGAACUCCAAUUGCGAAGGCAGCUCACUGGAGUGUAACUGACGCUGAUGCUCGAAAGUGUGGGUAGCAAACA